rnacentral:rRNA from 1 species
CAGCAGCCACGGUAAUACAGAGGGUGCGAGCGUUAAUCGGAUUUACUGGGCGUAAAGCGUGCGUAGGCGGCUUUUUAAGUCGGAUGCGAAAUCCCUGAGCUUAACUUAGGAAUUGCAUUCGAUACUGGGAAGCUAGAGUAUGGGAGAGGAUGGUAGAAUUCCAGGUGUAGCGGUGAAAUGCGUAGAGAUCUGGAGGAAUACCGAUGGCGAAGGCAGCCAUCUGGCCUAAUACUGACGCUGAGGUACGAAAGCAUGGGGAGCAAACAGGAUUAGAUACCCCAGUAGUCCCUGUCUCUUAUAC